GGGAAAGGUCUCUGGAUUCUGCCAGUGCAACCACCAAAAGUGAAAGAAAACCUUGCCAACCACAGGUGUAAAAGAUUAUUUUAAGAAGUGAUGUGGUAAAUCUCAAGGGACUAUUUCCUGGGAAGGAUCAAGCUAGCAGAACACAGCCUAAAGUCUGCUGCCAGCUCUUGAGUGGCUCAACUGAAAUAAAAUGAAAUGAGGAUUCUCCGCUGUGAAUGAAAGUUUACAGGCUACUACAGGAGAGAAAUACAAUUUGACUCAAGAACCCUUCUGUAUUCAAGCCAGCAACAGUUUGUAUUAUCUUUUUUUCCUGCUUCUGAAGUAUGACUUUAUGCUUUGUCUCUACUCAAAGAAAACAGUCUAAUUCAGUUCAAGAUUACAGUGAUCCUUCUUCUUGUCUGCUGAUGUUAGCCCUGUUUUCAAAAAUAUCUGUAAA